CAGAAGAAGGAAAGGGCUCUUAAAAAACAUUUGAGAGCAGGGAGAACAAACAAAGCAAAGAAUCUUGCAAAAGGGAUGACUCAGCGGCCAGGGCGGAGGUCUCCGAAGGAGGCAAGCCUGGAACUGCCUAUUCACCCGGCAGGACGGAAGGAGGACGCAGGUGACCCCAGAAAUUCUACAGACAAGCAACUCAAUGUUAACUCCGGCACUCAACAUUAACUACCCCAUUUUCCUGAAUGAAGAAACGGAUGAAGACUUUGCCAGAUGGGUUAAGUUACGCUACAAUGUGGAACAGCCC